rfam:Aspergillus rambellii strain SRRC1468 contig00296, whole genome shotgun sequence.
GGUCUUGUGAUGUAGUGGUUAGCAUCCUGGAUUUUGAUUCCAGAUACCCCGUUUCGAAUACGGGCAAGACCU